GUUUGAACAGUAUUCAGAAGUGGAUGCAGCAUUUUUGUAUUUUUACAAAAUCCAAGGACAAACCCACUGCAUUGACGGCAGUAAAGAUACAGCAAGACUUGGAAGAUUCAUGAAUGAUGACCAUGUCAAACCAAACAGCAAAAUUAAAAUUGUGUUGGAUGAGCAAAAAAAAAAAAGCAUCUCUGUCCAUUUGCUAUCACAAAAAUACAUGCAGGGGAAGAAAUGGUCUUUGAUUAUGGUGAUCCUAACUGUGAAUGGCGACAGAAGCCCGCUUCAUCAUCUGGGAAAGAGCAGAUGGAAAAGAAGGAAUCCCGGUGGAAGAGCUCUCUGGAAAAUCUGCAGACUGAGCCUGACGUGAAAAAAAUUGAUGACCUUGUCUACAAUCUGAA